CUUCAGAGCCAAAUUGAGGCUCUCAGCUUGCCGUACUUGGGCAGAGGAUCCUCAAAUAUGGGGCAGCAGCAGUAUCAACAAUCUGUUCAAGGCGAAAGGAAUUGUAUAUUUCCAGAGGACCCAGGUCAGUUGUUGAAUGAUAACUGCGUAAAGAGGAAAGGAGCUUCUGCUCAGCAGGACUACAAUGAAGAACCCACGAAGGACUUGAGGAGUAGAGGGUUGUGUCUGGUUCCUUUGUCGUGCACUCUGCAGGUUGGAAGCGAUAAUGGGGCAGACUACUGGGCUCCUGCUCUCGGCGGCGGGUUCGGAUAGGAGUUGUAUUCCGGUGGAUGAUAGCAUGCAAGAGCUUCAUCAAACGAUAUAACAUCAUGAGCAGUCACUCUGCUAAAAUCUAAGGCUGAUUGCUCAUGAUGCUAUACAAUCUAGCUAGCUACAAGUGUGUGCUCUAGUUUGGACUUUGCAAGUCCAAAAUUAAUUCUCUCUCUAAUUUAAGAUUAAACUUAUCUUUGUUCUUCCUUAAUUACUAGCAGCUGCUUAAUUAAUAUGUUGCUUUUCGUGUAUAUGCAAUUCUAGUAUGAUUAAUCAUUUUAAUGCUCUGCUUCCGGAGCAGAG
rnacentral:misc_RNA from 1 species